UACGUAGGGACCAAGCGUUGUUCGGAUUUACUGGGCGUAAAGGGCGCGUAGGCGGCGUGUUAAGUCACUUGUGAAAUCUCUAAGCUUAACUUAGAACGGUCAAGUGAUACUGACGUGCUAGAGUGCAGAAGGGGCAACCGGAAUUCUUGGUGUAGCGGUGAAAUGCGCAGAUAUCAGGAGGAACACCGGUGGCGAAGGCGGUGAUCUGGGCCGACACUGACGCUGUAGAGCGAAAGCGUGGGUAGCAAACAGG
rnacentral:rRNA from 1 species